AGAAGUAGUUGUACUAAACUCACAAACGCGUGCACUGCCAACUCUGUGAUGGCCUUCAUUUUGUCAAACUGGUUGCAUGCAGGUUCAUUAAGGGAGGAACCACGAAGUAAUUGAACUUGUUAAAAUGCUGGACUUGAGAUACGCAUUUCAUCAUUGGUGGUUUCAGACUUCCAGCAACCCUGGGCUGGGCUCAGCCAGCGGAGCUUAUUCUGUCCACGGCCGUGAACCUCCACGGCGGUAAUUCUCAGCGCGUGCUAAGCACGCUUUGUUCAAUUACUGACGACAUGUGACGCGCUC